rnacentral:rRNA from 1 species
UACGGAGGAUGCAAGCGUUAUCCGGAAUGAUUGGGCGUAAAGCGUCCGCAGGUGGCUAUGUAAGUUUGCUGUUAAAGAGUCUAGCUCAACUAGAUAAGAGCAGUGGAAACUACAAGGCUAGAGUACGUUCGGGGCAGAGGGAAUUCCUGGUGUAGCGGUGAAAUGCGUAGAGAUCAGGAAGAACACCAGUGGCGAAGGCGCUCUGCUAGGCCGUAACUGACACUGAGGGACGAAAGCUAGGGGAGCGAAUGGG